GUGACAGCGGAGGGAUCAUUACCGAGUUUACAACUCCCAAACCCCUGUGAACAUACCUAUACGUUGCCUCGGCGGAUCAGCCCGCGCCCUGUAAAAAGGGACGGCCCGCCCGAGGACCCUAAACUCUGUUUUUAGUGGAACUUCUGAGUAAAACAAACAAAUAAAUCAAAACUUUCAACAACGGAUCUCUUGGUUCUGGCAUCGAUGAAGAACGCAGCAAAAUGCGAUAAGUAAUGUGAAUUGCAGAAUUCAGUGAAUCAUCGAAUCUUUGAACGCACAUUGCGCCCGCCAGUAUUCUGGCGGGCAUGCCUGUUCGAGCGUCAUUUCAACCCUCAAGCUCAGCUUGGUGUUGGGACUCGCGGUAACCCGCGUUCCCCAAAUCGAUUGGCGGUCACGUCGAGCUUCCAUAGCGUAGUAAUCAUACACCUCGUUACUGGUAAUCGUCGCGGCCACGCCGUAAAACCCCAACUUCUGAAUGUUGACCUCGGAUCAGGUAGGAAUACCCGCUGAACUUAAGCAUAUC
rnacentral:rRNA from 1 species